rnacentral:rRNA from 1 species
UACGUAGGGGGCAAGCGUUGUCCGGAUUUAUUGGGCGUAAAGCGCUCGCAGGCGGCCCGAUGCGUCGUGCGUGAAACACCCCGGCUCAACUGGGGAGGGUCGUGCGAUACGGUCGGGCUUGAGUUCGGUAGGGGAGACUGGAAUUCCUGGUGUAGCGGUGAAAUGCGCAGAUAUCAGGAGGAACACCGGUGGCGAAGGCGGGUCUCUGGGCCGAUACUGACGCUGAGGAGCGAAAGCGUGGGGAGCGAACAGG